CUCCUAAAAAGAAGGCUCCAAAAUAACGUAAUUUUGGGGAAAGAAAAAAAAUUAAGAAAGAAUAAAGGAGAAAAAAGAAACAAAAGCAAGAUAUAAUUAUGAGUAAGGAUUUAGGUGUGGUGGUAAAGAUCUUGACAAACUUGCUAGAGGUUUUAGGUUUGAACCUCAACUAGAGCAUGUAAUCUGUUGAAGAAUAAGAACGUCGCAUGCUAGCCUCAUGAUGCACCACAUGUCAACAUCUUGAUGUGCCACGUGGUAACCUAGUCUUGAAGUGUGACAAGGCAAUGCCACAUCAGUGUGUCAAGGUGACGUGGCAAUACCAUGUCAGCACAAAAGGUGACGUGGCACUUUGAGUUCGAGUGCUGACAUCAACACCAUAGCGAUAAAUUUAAAUAAAAAAUGUUAGAGGGACGAAAUUGAUACAAUUGUCAAAAUGAAUGUGUCAUGACCUGGUACUCCUCUCGAGCCCGUGACAACCGCCGCGACGUCUCUGUAGACAUUUGUUACCCGGAGUGCCAACUGGAACCCCGCAAGGCUUUAGUACCAUUUUUCUCAUCUCCCCCGUGAGUAAUCAUCGUCAAACCUCGUUUUUAAAGAAUUUUAAGCUUUUUCCCCUUCAAAAUCAUGAAAAAAUAAUUUUCGCCUCACAAGGGUAUUUUCGUCUUUUUUUCUCAAAAUUUUUUGAACCCAACUAAAAAUGUAGUAGAUGAGUGGAAAACACAUAUUUCAUAAUUUAAAAUAAAUUUGGGUGUCUAAAACAUUUAUUAAAAAUGAUAUUGCAACUAUUUGAAUAAAAUAAAAAUUUUAAUAAAAUAUUCUAAUUUCUUGUAAAAUAAUAUUUAUAGAGUCAUCGGUAAAUAAUUUUUGUAAUAUAAAAG
rnacentral:lncRNA from 1 species